UUAUCUACACUUCCCAUUAUUCAUUUACAUAAUGCACAGUCUGAUCAGGAUUUGCAAUGUGAGGACAACAUGGCUACAAUGUGUGCAAUUUAUACAUAGCAUAAAUAUCUGUAUGUGAAACACUCCCCCCCCCCAUUAAUACAAAGCCUCUGAGGUCUUUCAUGUGACUCUUCCAUAUUUUGAAGAGUCACAUGAGAGAAACAUCUGACUACCUCCACACCACAGCUCUUAUGCAGUGUUGCUUUCAAGGCAAGCCAAGAGGGAUAAUUUGCUGCUGACUGCAUGCUUCCUGGAGAGUAGACAAUGUAAAGAGCAUUUUGCUCAGCCCUACUACAAGGUACCUACUGAUUUAAUGGGUAAAAUCUAGUAUUAUAUCAUACUAUGUGAUUUUUUCCUUCCAAUGCAGGUUUUACAGCCAGCCAAACUUCCUCUGGAAAGUCUCUCAACCCUUUUGUAGGCACACAGGGUUCUGCAGGAAAGAGGUGAAUAGAAGGGACAGAGGAGGUUCAACCAUUAGGCGAAGUAAGCAGUUCUGAAGGUGCCAUCCUCUAGGGGGCGCCGUUGAGGCACCUCCUCCGAGACAUGGCCUUCCUGCCUCCACAGCCUGGCUGCCUCUGUGGCCUCGGUCUCCAGGCUGCUUGGCCAUGUUCCAGAAGCUUUCUCUCCUGACGGCAAACCCACACCUAUGGCAGGCAUCCUCAGAGGUUGGGAGGUCUGUUGGAAGCUAGAUUUCCUAAAUGAUAUCAAGGAACUUGUGCCUCUGUUCUCGUCCUUCCUUGAUGCAGAAGCUCAACUGAAGUACAAAAGGCACCUGCUGCCAAAAGGAGGUCCUUCACAAAGUGCUUAUACAGUCAUUUAGUGAAACUGUAUUCUGGCAUCCUGAGAGGAUCAUAUACUUAAGACCUGGAGAUUGUGAAGCGAAUUGGUUCAGGAGCAGUUCCUCACUCUCAUUAUGAUAGCUCUCAAGAGAAAUGACUAAUUUCGUGCCAUUGUUUUCUUGACACAGCAGUCUUUUCCCUUGAAUUCUAGUUUGAUUCUUUUCCCAUUACCCCUUCUCUUUUUUAAAAACAGACUUUUUGAAUCUCCCAGUUUGUUGUAUAUUGAUAUUUUUUCUCCAAUAAAGAUUUAUUUGUUGCCAGUA